rnacentral:rRNA from 1 species
AACGAACGCUGGCGGCGUGCCUAACACAUGCAAGUCGAACGAGAUCUUCGGGUCUAGUGGCGCACGGGUGCGUAACGCGUGGGAAUCUGCCCUUUGGUUCGGAAUAACAGCUGGAAACGACUGCUAAUACCGGAUGAUGACGAAAGUCCAAAGAUUUAUCGCCAGAGGAUGAGCCCGCGUAGGAUUAGCUAGUUGGUGUGGUAAAGGCGCACCAAGGCGACGAUCCUUAGCUGGUCUGAGAGGAUGAUCAGCCACACUGGGACUGAGACACGGCCCAGACUCCUACGGGAGGCAGCAGUGGGGAAUAUUGGACAAUGGGCGAAAGCCUGAUCCAGCAAUGCCGCGUGAGUGAUGAGGGCCUUAGGGUUGUAAAGCUCUUUUACCCGGGAUGAUAAUGACAGUACCGGGAGAAUAAGCUCCGGCUAACUCCGUGCCAGCCGCCGCGGUAA